AUAACAUUGACAUCAAACUCUGUCUGGACGAAUGACUAAGAGUGGUGCAAAACGUAAACUUUUGACCCUCAACUUUUUGACCUGCAGUUGUAACGCCCUUAACCACAAAGAUAUACAAAAGCUAUGCAGCUUCUUUUAGGACUAAGAGACUCGCAGUGUUUGUUUCAAUAGUUCUGCCGUUUCCCCCCAGCUUUCUAAGGGCUUUUUUUUUUUUUAAUCUCCUUCUCGCUGUUGAGAAAUCGGAUACUUUUGCAUUUUUAAUUAUUGCUCUUUUUGUUGUUGUUUUUGGUCUUUUUUUUUUUUUUUUUCCUUCUUCUUCUUUAAUCUGGCAGCUUUGCAAAGUGCUGUUAAAUCAGUUUGCACAGCCUUUCGGCAGCGUUGGAGGGAAGCCUGUACUCAAAGGCGCUAUUUGGUUACAAUUGCAGGUGAAAUGCUGGAAAAUGAAAAGUCUUACUGUACCUCUCCUGGCAACUGGCCUCUCCAUGCUACUGUGACAAGCAAGAUUUUCACUUGUCUCUCGGUGAGGUUGAGGAGCCUGGCCACCUCGUACCUGC
rnacentral:lncRNA from 1 species